rnacentral:rRNA from 1 species
UGAGGAAUAUUGGACAAUGGGUGAGAGCCUGAUCCAGCCAUCCCGCGUGAAGGACGACGGCCCUAUGGGUUGUAAACUUCUUUUGUAUAGGGAUAAACCUUUCCACGUGUGGAAAGCUGAAGGUACUAUACGAAUAAGCACCGGAUAACUCCGUGCCAGCAGCCGCGGUAAUACGGAGGGUGCAAGCGUUAUCCGGAUUUAUUGGGUUUAAAGGGUCCGUAGGCGGAUCUGUAAGUCAGUGGUGAAAUCUCACAGCUUAACUGUGAAACUGCCAUUGAUACUGCAGGUCUUGAGUAAGGUAGAAGUAGCUGGAAUAAGUAGUGUAGCGGUGAAAUGCAUAGAUAUUACUUAGAACACCAAUUGCGAAGGCAGGUUACUAUGUCUUAACUGACGCUGAUGGACGAAAGCGUGGGGAGCGAACA